CUACGGGGCGCAGCAGUGGGGAAUAUUGCACAAUGGGCGCAAGCCUGAUGCAGCCAUGCCGCGUGUAUGAAGAAGGCCUUCGGGUUGUAAAGUACUUUCAGCGGGGAGGUAGGGAGUAAAGUUAAUACCUUUGCUCAUUGACGUUACCCGCAGAAGAAGCACCGGCUAACUCCGUGCCAGCAGCCGCGGUGAAUACGGAGGGUGCAAGCGUUAAUCGGAAUUACUGGGCGUAAAGCGCACGCAGGCGGUUUGUUAAGUCAGAUGUGAAAUCCCCGGGCUCAACCUGGGAACUGCAUCUGAUACUGGCAAGCUUGAGUCUCGUAGAGGGGGGUAGAAUUCCAGGUGUAGCGGUGAAAUGCGUAGAGAUCUGGAGGAAUACCGGUGGCGAAGGCGGCCCCCUGGACGAAGACUGACGCUCAGGUGCGAAAGCGUGGGGAGCAAACAGGAUUAGAUACCCGCGUAGUC
rnacentral:rRNA from 1 species